UUUCAAUUUCUUGUCAUCCAAUGAUACUCCGUUUACAGAAAAUAUCUAGCGAGUCAGAUGUUGUUUUGUUAACCGCUCUGUGGAUUCGAUCAUUGCAGACCCCUUGACAGAUGAUAACUCGCAUGUGAACCGUGACUUCGACAAAAAUCGUGCCGAUAGAAUAAAUCCUUGCAUUUCAUUAUACCAUGGUAUCAGCAAGCAAGAUACAACGAGAGACAAAGUGUAUCAAAGAAUUGUCAAAGGUUACCAUCCGCUAGUACCAGAUUCUCAAACAAUACUAGGUUCCUUUAUCUAAUUGCAACAAGAAUAACAGAGAGGUCGUAGAUUUAUAGAGGAUGAAUUAUGGUCCUCGUAAUCAAAUGCACGCAUAAUGGUUGGAACCAUUCGGAAUCUUCUGAAUCCUGAAAUUCUGAAACCGAUUGAUUGCAUAUUUUCGUCGGAGAUAAGACGUGACCAUGUUGUUACCAAACUCUGAGUCCAGUUUUAUCUCGCUGCUAUGACACGUCGAUAGAACGACAUCGCAACAUCGUGCUAUAACUUAUCUUAGAUAAACGGCAUUAAGAAAUUCUUCAAAUGUCACAAUGUCACCGACUCAAAGACAUAACCUAGCGAUCACCUUGUCGAUUGUAAGAAUGUACUCACGUCGAUUCCUAUAAGCGUAGGCCGGAUGUAAAGACUGGAGGCUUCGGAAUGCGGAACCCAUUCUUGAUCUAUGCCGAUCAACCGAUUAAUACAUUUAAUCAAGUCCUGUCCGCUAAAAGUGGGUAGGCCACACCUUGACGCCGAGGCAUUCAUCCUCUCCAUGUUUAAUUCCGGUCUAAAUAUUCUGAUUUUACCAUCGACACCUCGAACAUCCCAAAAGGUUCUUACCUCGAUCGCAUAAUGCAACACCUUGGACGCUGGAUGAAUUACAAGAUUCUCUAAAGGAGUGAUUUCCGGCACUUGCCAUCCUCCCAGUGCUUCGUGGUAAAAUAUCUUUAACAUAUGGUCC